rnacentral:rRNA from 1 species
CUCGUAGUUGGAUCUCGGUGCCGGUCUGGCGGUCCGCCUCGCCGCGGUCUCACUGCCAGUCCCGGAGCCAUCCCGCCGGCCUUCCCUCGGUGCUCUUUACCGAGUGUCUUGGGUGACCGGAACGUUUACUUUGAACAAAUUAGAGUGCUCCAAGCAGGCGCGUCCCGCCCGCAUAGCCCAGCAUGGAAUAAUGGAAUAGGACCUCGGUUCUAUUUUGUUGGUUUUCGGAACCCGAGGUAAUGAUUAAUAGGGACAGACGGGGGCAUUCGUAUUGCGACGCUAGAGGUGAAAUUCUUGGACCGUCGCAAGACGAACUACUGCCAAAGCAUUUGCCAAGAAUGUUUUCCUUAAUCAAGAACGAAAGUUAUAGGUU